rnacentral:lncRNA from 1 species
GCCUCCUGUGACCUGAGCUGGACCAGGCCCUAUAACCCAGGCCAUGAAGUUGGAGGCUUAUGAUGAGCCCACCACAGGGAUGGACCCAAAGGCACGCCACAUGCUGUGGAAGACCAUCAUGAGCCUCAUCAGAGAAGGGAGAGCAGUGGUCCUCACUUCCCACAGGCAAGAGAUUCCCAGCGUGGGGACAGCAGAUGGAGUCCCUGACACACUGCCUCACCUCCUCUCUCCCACCCCAUAGCAUGGACGAAUGUGAGGCACUGUGUACCCGUCUGGCCAUCAUGGUGGAGGCACCUUUCAGUGCCUGGGCACCAUUCAG